rnacentral:rRNA from 1 species
AGUUUGAUCCUGGCUCAGAUUGAACGCUGGCGGCAGGCCUAACACAUGCAAGUCGAACGGUAACAGGAAACAGCUUGCUGUUUCGCUGACGAGUGGCGGACGGGUGAGUAAUGUCUGGGAAACUGCCUGAUGGAGGGGGAUAACUACUGGAAACGGUAGCUAAUACCGCAUAAUGUCGCAAGACCAAAGAGGGGGACCUUCGGGCCUCUUGCCAUCGGAUGUGCCCAGAUGGGAUUAGCUAGUAGGUGGGGUAACGGCUCACCUAGGCGACGAUCCCUAGCUGGUCUGAGAGGAUGACCAGCC